AUUGAACGCUGGCGGAAUGCUUUACACAUGCAAGUCGAACGGCAGCACGGGGGCAACCCUGGUGGCGAGUGGCGAACGGGUGAGUAAUACAUCGGAACGUGCCCAGUCGUGGGGGAUAACGUAGCGAAAGCUACGCUAAUACCGCAUACGAUCUCUGGAUGAAAGCGGGGGACCGCAAGGCCUCGCGCGAUUGGAGCGGCCGAUGGCAGAUUAGGUAGUUGGUGGGGUAAAGGCUCACCAAGCCGACGAUCUGUAGCUGGUCUGAGAGGACGACCAGCCACACUGGGACUGAGACACGGCCCAGACUCCUACGGGAGGCAGCAGUGGGGAAUUUUGGACAAUGGGCGAAAGCCUGAUCCAGCCAUUCCGCGUGCAGGAUGAAGGCCCUCGGGUUGUAAACUGCUUUUGUACGGAACGAAACGGUCCUGGUUAAUACCUGGGGCUAAUGACGGUACCGUAAGAAUAAGCACCGGCUAACUACGUGCCAGCA
rnacentral:rRNA from 1 species